rnacentral:rRNA from 1 species
UGAGGAAUAUUGCGCAAUGGGCGAAAGCCUGACGCAGCGACGCCGCGUGGAGGAUGAAGGUUUUCGAAUUGUAAACUCCUGUUAAGUGGGAAGAAAUACCUGUUUCGAAUAAAAACAGAGGAUGACGGUACCAUUAGAGAAAGCACCGGCUAACUUCGUGCCAGCAGCCGCGGUAAUACGAGGGGUGCAAGCGUUAUUCGGAAUUAUUGGGCGUAAAGGGUGCGUAGGCUGUAUAUUAAGUCAAUUGUUAAAUUUCCUGGCCUAACCAGGAGCAAGCGGUAGAUACUGAUAUACUAGAGGGCGGAAGAGAGAAGUGGAAUUCUCGGAGUAGCGGUAAAAUGCGUAGAUCUCGAGAGGAACACCGAUGGCGAAGGCAGCUUCUUGGUCCGCAUCUGACGCUGAGGCACGAAAGCGUGGGGAGCAAACAGGAUUAGAUACCCCCGUAGUCC